rnacentral:rRNA from 1 species
UACGUAGGUGGCGAGCGUUGUCUGGAUUUACUGGGCGUAAAGAGCGCGCAGGCGGUCGUUCAAGUCGCGUGUGAAAGCCCCCGGCUCAACUGGGGAGGGUCACGCGAUACUGAUCGACUCGAAGGCAGGAGAGGGUAGUGGAAUUCCCGGUGUAGUGGUGAAAUGCGUAGAUAUCUGGAGGAACACCGGUGGCGAAGGCAGCAUCCUGGACCGACAUUGACGCUGAGGCGCGAAAGCCAGGGGAGCAAACGGG